GGUUGUGUAGUGUAGUGGCUAUCACAUUGGACUUUGAAUCCAAUAACCCGAGUUCGAUCCUCGGCACGACCU
rnacentral:tRNA from 1 species